UUGUAGCUUCUGUGAGUCAAAUAAAACAUGUACAUUAUUAUCUGAACAAAUUUUGUUAAUCGAAAGUAAAUUUCUAUAAGCUAGAAAUGGGCAAAAGGAAUACAUCUGCAGUUAGAAUGCAUUCAUUAUCAUUGAAGGGUCGAGGAUGGUGCACGUUCCCCGAAUGUGCGAGGUGACGUCGGAUCUGGAUACCAUAAUGUGGUUGUAUUUGCCGAUCGUGUUCCAGACUUGUUGUAGCCCACGGCUCCGUACUGCGUCAGCUAUCUAUUGUGUGCCGGAGGAAAUUUUGUGGAGUUGAACCUGUUAUAACAAUGACGGACAAAGUGUUUGUAUUUUCCACAUAUUUGACAUUUAAGAUCUAUUUUUCCUGUAUGAUUAUUAUUCUUAACAACUAUAUUUGCAGAAUGAGUUGAAGUAAGAAUCGGUUGUUGUUGUUGUGUUCUUAGUUCUUGAUUCAUGAGUAUUUGACAAAGUGCUCCUGUUGUAGCCAACGUAUUUUUUAGAAUUGAAAUCUUGGUUAUAAAAUCUUCCAUUCUUAGACUGCUUUUGCGAAUCGUUUGCAGCUAGAGUCGAAGAUGGAGUUGUCGAGUUUGUGUAUUAGACGCGAACAGUUUCUUGAGAACAUCUCAUACAACGGCGGACGAUCUGUGCGUUGCGACUUGGGGUAAAAUGGUCGGAGAUAUGUCAAUUUACACCAAACUCGUCAAAGCAGGGUCUAAGGAUAUGGAUCUACAAGUAUCAGUAUGUUGUUGUUCAACUUAGUUGAUCAUCCCCUUCUUGAGAGAAAAAAAAGAGAGCGAUCUUGUGAUCUUAGUUCUUGGUGAUUUGGUGGAUUCCAGUUCUCGUGAUCUCUCCAUUUCCAGUUCUGACCGAUCUCACGUUUUUCCAGUUCGCCGUCUGCAGCUUUUGCGAUUUCUCGGUUCUGCGAUCUUGGAUUUUGCGAGCUGCUCGCGUGACUUUGCUGGAUUUUCCUCCGAGCGAUUUUGCGAUUUUGGUUUUUCUGUUCGCGUGCAUUGCAGUUCGUGAUUCCAGAUUCUAUUCCAGAUUGUUUGCAGCUUCUCGACCGAUCGAUUGCGAUUUGCGAUUGCAAUUCUGGUUUGAUUUUCUUUCUUUCUCUCCUUUACUGUUUUACUUUCAUCGAUUCUAAUAUCAAUUUUUUUCUUAUCGAUUUUAAUAUCGAUUUUUUUUCUUAUCGAUUUCUGUCAUCGAUUUUAAUAUCGUUACAGAUUUCUGAUCGAUUCUUUUUUAUUGAUUUUAAUAUCGUUUCUUUUAACAUCGAUUGAUCGAUUUUAUUAUCAAUUUUUUUUCCUUUGUUUCCCAGAUAGAUCAGUAUCGAUUUUAUUAUCGGUCAAACAGAGUAAUUUCGUCGACUUUUUUCAUUGAUGGUUAUAAUUCGCUGUCUUACGACUUCCGUUACGACUUAUCAAUUUUUCUGCUUAAUCUAACCACUAAGAGAAAUUGAUUUAUCGCAAUUUAUUAAUUCGUUGCUUAAUCGAUUAUAUUUUUUUCUCUCUCCUUCUGAUUUUCUUUUAUAUAGUCAGAUUAUAUCAUUGUUUUUUUUUUUUAUAUAGUUUAUAGUUUCUAGUUUAUAGUUUGUGUAGUUUAUAGUUUCUUGUUGUUGCCAAUUGAAAUUUUGUUUGUAUUUCUGCUGAAUUUUUCUUGAUCCAACAUCAAGGAUUCGUGUUUGUGUCAAAGAUUCGUGCCCAGACCUCCCUAAUGGCCGGACCUUCAAACGUUGCAGAAUCUUCAAGCAGGUCUGCCGGACUAAAGAAUGAAGAGUUUGUCAUCCGUUUUAACGACCAUGAUAUGUUAGUUUACCCCUUGGUCGGUGACGCAUUUUCUAAUUAUUAGUUAUAAACAAUUUAAAAAAGCAUAUAUGCAGUUACAGAUAGGAAAGAAGAUCGAGCCGUGUCGACGAGUUGGGCUCUGAGUCUACUUAACCCAAUUCAUACAUGAUUCGAUCAAAAGUCCUCAGAAUUCAAACUCAAUUGAGGACUUGGCGCAAUCUUCAAACUCGAAAUAUACGAACCCGAGAACGCACGGUGGGUUGAUCGAGAGAGUAAAGAGCGUCGAUCAAAUGCAUACGUAAUGAACCAGGACCGCCGGCGACCUCCAUUCCGAUCUCAGAGGCGACGGCGAAGAUGGAAAGAGCACAAGCGGUGGCUUCCAAAGCACGGUUCGGGUCAACAGAGACGAAGGCGGUGAUCAGAGCCGUAACGGCACACCCCGUAGCUGUGAUCUUCUGCAGCAUCGGAACCCCAUUUCUAAUCCCAAUGACGCGCGUUCCGUCCGUCACGUAAUCAACUGCUCCAGUCACCGCAACCACCGAUCCACUGCUUACCGAUAAUGAUUUUGCCACAUCGAUUGCCUCCGUGGAUUCGUGUGAGCUGUCGGCGCCCUGGUUUGCGGAGGGUUCAAUUACAGAAUUAUUCAACCGCGGGAAAUAGUAUAUUUUGUAAAUCCCAUUUCAUUCUAGACUUCUAUCUCGAUCCUUCCUUACCUUGCUGUUCUCCAGCCGGAAGGCGUUGGAGAGGGCGAUGAUCUCAGAAGCGUUGCCUCGGAUAACAAGAGGUUUCAUCGAGAGAAGAUCGCUACAGGCCUUCAUCCUAAACUCCGAUAUGGAAACAGCGACGGGAUCGAGCACCCAUGGGAUGGAGGAAUUCCGGGCCACUUCGGCGGCGGAGAGCAUCGAAGGAAGCCAGUCUUCGGAGAUCGUACCUAUGUUGAUGCAAAGACCGUCGAUUCUAGGAGUGAAGUCUUGGAUCUCGCGGAUCGAAUGGACCAUUGCUGGUGAUGCGCCCGAGGAGAGGAGGAUGUUUGCGGUUAUGUCCAUGGAUACGAGGUUGGUGAUGCACUGGAUCAGAGGCGAUUUGGUUCGAAGUUUCUCCACAAGAUACCAUGCCGUUUCCGUCCACUCUGUCUCAAACGGCGGCGGAGAUUUGAGACCGUCCAUUCGAUAAAAGAGAGUGGUGACUGCCUGAGCUUCUGACAAAGGAAGUGGCGAGUGGACGAAAUUAAUGUCAAUUUUUUUUUUUUAUAAACAACCCCCUAAUGCCUAAAUAAUUUAAACCUUAUUUUCAAAUCCCAUAAAAUCUUAAAUCCGUAAAUGUUACUUUUAAUUCUCAAAUCCCUAACUUCACUCGUAAAUUCUAGCCUUUGUCCCAGAAGCUCGCUCGGGAGUGCUUGGGAGUCCUCCUCCUCCGAACGCUCCUUGUGCGACUGCCAAUGAGAGCGGCGUGAACGCUUGUGGGAACGCCGACGUGUGAUCUUGAGCUUUCCUGGUGUCAUUCAGAUACCCCCAUGCUCUCUAGAAUCGACAUGCUCCUCCACCACCCUGCGGCUCUUUCUGCUUUGUGAGGCCGCGGGAUGUGCCAGAUUCUGGGCUUAGGUCCAGUAUUUGGGGUAUCAUCGAUUUUUAUAAUAUUUGCAUGUAAACAUUCGAGAUGAAAAAUGAAUGAUUCAGAUCAUUAUAACACCAGAAACUGGUCCUUUUGAAUUGAUAACAACCCUCGAGUCUCAAACAACACACAAAAAAAGAUGACAAAGAUCUAAUUGCUGAUGAUCUGAGUGAAUUAAGACGAUGAUCGGUCGGUCGGGAGCUUUUGGUUUGAAAGAUAUGUGUUGAUCAGUCGAAGAGCCUCUCUAGGUUUAUUAAGAGGAACUAAAUGGCCGGCGCCUCGUACCGUCGCCAUUGUAAGUCCUUCAUACUCCACAAAUCUCCCGGCAACCUGACCAAAUACACCCUCCAUUCUGUUAAUGCAAUUUGAUGCAAGCUAGCUGGGUAGGUAGUAAUUUACAAACCUGAUGUUGAUGAUACCAUGGCUUCCACUUGGUCUUGAGAUGAAGCCCCAAAGCCUCAACGCAGUAUCUAGAACCAAUGACCGGAACUCUGCCAUCUGCAUCCCCACUGAACAGUUUUCGAAACACAGGUCAAAGAAAACAUGUCAUAAGGUCUACUUUUUUUGUUGUCGUGUAGAUACCAUGUGAAUUAUCCAAAAACUAAACAAAAUUAUAUAUCCCUUGUUUGGUUUGUUUUAAAUUUCUAAUAAUAUAUAUAUGUGUACAGCAAACCUGUAGAUCCAUAUCCUGAGACCUGCUUUGAUGAGUUUGGUGUAAAUUGGCAGAACAGAUGCCACAGUGUAGUUGUAGUAGGUAUUCAAUAUCGAAUCACUGCAAUUGAUUAAUAAUUAAAAUCCAUGAUUCAAUGAAUUUUGAAUUUUGAAUUCCACCCACCUGCAGACUUUCCAUUUUCCUGCUAGAUCUGCAUGCAUUGAUCUCUUUACAUCAUCUCUGUUGAAGUAUGCUUCUGUAUAUGAUUCGAAACAUGGAUCGUAGCCG
rnacentral:lncRNA from 1 species